rnacentral:lncRNA from 1 species
UUUAUUUGGACAACCUCAGAUGAACGACAUUAUAAAAGACAUUUUAACAGUAGAUCUAAUGACAGAAAUGAUCAUUCACAUAGAGCUGACGAUUACAGAACGAAUAGCGGAUAUAAGGGAAUAACAAAGCACAAUGUCAAAAACACGUACUAUGGUUACGACAGAAGAAGAAAAAGUAUCAAUGUGAAUACUCACAUCAAAGUAAAAAUAUCAAACUUAGAUUAUACAAUUUCGAAGAAUGAUUUAAUAGAAUUAUUUAGCAAUGUGUGUAAAGUUGUACACGCAUGGAUAAAUUAUGAUCACACGGACAGAUCAGAUGGAACAGCAGUAUGUAUCUUCGAAAAUAUAACUGAUGCUCAAAAGGCUAUAGAUAAAUACGAUGGAUCAGAAAUUGAAGGGCAAUCCAUAAAAAUGGAAAUAAUGCAGCAAAGAAGUUAUAUGCAUAGAAAAAAAAACAAAAGUAGAUGUCCAUGGUAAUAGCACUUUCACUGUUUACAUUUUUUUUUUUUUUUUUUUUUGACACCAUCACUUUAACAAUUACGCUAGCAUCUUAACUAAUAUAUUAUCAUUACAUAUAUAAAUAUGCAUAUGUAUA